rnacentral:rRNA from 1 species
CCCUUAGAUGUCCGGGGCUGCACGCGCGCUACACUGAAGGAAUCAGCGUGCUAAAACCAUUGUCGAAAGGCAUUGGUAAACCCAUUAAAAUCCUACGUGAUUGGGAUCGGGAAUUGCAAUUAUUUCCCUUGAACGAGGAAUUCCCAGUAAGUGUGGGUCAUAAGCUCGCGUUGAUUACGUCCCUGCCCUUUGUACACACCGCCCGUCGCUGCCCGGAACUGAGCCGUUUCGAGAAAGCCGGGGACCGACGCCUCGAUGGUGCGCAAGCACUUCUUGUCGAUGGAAACCAGUUUGAUCGGUAUGGCUUGAACCGGGCAAAAGUCGUAACA